AGUGAACGCUGGCGGCAGGCCUAACACAUGCAAGUCGAACGGCAGCACAGUAAGAGCUCGCUCUUACGGGUGGCGAGUGGCGGACGGGUGAGGAAUACAUCGGAAUCUACUUUUUCGUGGGGGAUAACGUAGGGACACUUACGCUAAUACCGCAUACGUCCUACGGGUGAAAGCAGGGGAUCUUCGGACCUUGCGCGACUGAAUGAGCCGAUGUCGGAUUAGCUAGUUGGCGGGGUAAAGGCCCACCAAGGCGACGAUACGUAGCUGGUCUGAGAGGAUGAUCAGCCACACUGGAACUGAGACACGGUCCAGACUCCUACGGGAGGCAGCAGUGGGGAAUAUUGGACAAUGGGCGCAAGCCUGAUCCAGCCAUACCGCGUGAGUGAAGAAGGCCUUCGGGUUGUAAAGCCCUUUUGUUGGGAAAGAAAAGCAGCAGGUUAAUACCCCGCUGUUCUGACGGUACCCAAAGAAUAAGCACCGGCUAACUUCGUG
rnacentral:rRNA from 1 species